rnacentral:rRNA from 1 species
GACGGAGGUCCCAAGCGUUAGGCGGAAUCACUGGGCUUAAAGCGUGUGUAGGCGGACUUGUAAGUACCUUGUGAAAUCCCACGGCUCAACCGUGGAACUGCUGGGUAUACUGCGAGUCUUGAGCCACCUAGGGGCGAGCGGAACAAGUGGUGGAGCGGUGAAAUGCGUAGAUAUCACUUGGAACGCCAAUGGUGAAAACAGCUCGCUGGGGGUGUGCUGACGCUGAGACACGAAAGCCAGGGGAGCAAACGGG